UACGUAGGGUGCGAGCGUUAAUCGGAAUUACUGGGCGUAAAGCGUGCGUAGGCGGUUCGUUAUGUCUGCUGUGAAAUCCCCGGGCUUAACCUGGGAACUGCAUUUGUGACUGCAUGGCUAGAGUGUGGCAGAGGGGGAUGGAAUUCCGCGUGUAGCAGUGAAAUGCGUAGAUAUGCGGAGGAACACCGAUGGCGAAGGCAAUCCCCUGGGCCUGCACUGACACUCAUGCACGAAAGCGUGGGGAGCAAACAGG
rnacentral:rRNA from 1 species